rnacentral:rRNA from 1 species
AUUGAACGCUGGCGGCAUGCUUUACACAUGCAAGUCGAACGGUACAGGCCGCACGGUGCUGACGAGUGGAGUACGGGUGAGUAAUGCAUCGGAACGUGCCCAGGCCUGGGGGAUAACUACUCGCCAGAGUAGCUAAUACCGCACACGAUCCAUGGAUGAUAGUAGGGGACCGUAAGGCCUCGCGCGAUUGGAGCGGACGAUGUCAGAUUAGGUAGUUGGUGGGGUAAAGGCUUACCAAGCCAACGAUCCGUAGCUGGUCUGAGAGGACGACCAGCCAUACUGGGACUGAGACACGGCCCAGACUCCUACGGGAGGCAGCAGUGGGGAAUUUUGGACAAUGGGCGCAAGCCUGAUCCAGCAAUGCCGCGUGCAGGAAGAAGGCCUUCGGGUUGUAAACUGCUUUUGUACGGAACGAAACGGCUCUGGUUAAUACCCGGGGCUAAUGACGGUACCGGAAGAAUAAGCACCGGCUAACUACGUG